CUCAAACCAAGGCUAAUUAUCUGCUAAUUAUCUAUAGGCUAUGAUUUAACUUGUCAAUUUCAAAAGAUUUUUUUAGCAAGUUGUAUUUUCUAACAACAGUUUGAAUUGUGGUGUGUUCCGCUUCCUUACUAAUUCACAUAUAAGUAGCCCAUUUCGCUGUUGCUGACAAUUUACAUUUGAGCAUAGUGAGCAGGACAAAAUUCUCUCUACGACAAGAGCCCAAGGACAAACUUUUUCCUCCCUGGCACAUGCAACGCCUUCACAACUAAUAAUAACUUUGUACAUGUGUGUUCCUAUCAAAUUCCCCAGAGACUUCCAGGGCUGGCUGUUCUUAGGAGGGAACUAUUUGGUUAGAGAGCAGAGGCAAGUCUUAUACAUUCACGUGUGUGCUUUCACAUUCUAAUUAGCCCAUUCUAAUGAACAUACAUGUGUUAUCUUACAAAGUGUUUCCUCACGAGUGUACCAUCUUAGUGUUUCAUCAACCGUCUGCUAUCAUAUUAGAUGCACUAUUGUAAAGUGGUUGUUCCACUGGAUAUCAUAAGGUGAAUGCACCAAUUUGUAAGUCGCUCUGGAUAAGAGCGUC
rnacentral:lncRNA from 1 species